rnacentral:lncRNA from 1 species
UUUCGUUCAGAUUGUAGAGCCAGUUACUGCGGUUAUGAACACUAGUCCUAGGAUCGGGCAUGGUGAAUAGGCAAAGAACUUGGUUAUCAAUUAUAAGCUCAAACUCAUCAGAUCCUAGGUUUGCUAUAAACAUAGUGUUGAAGAGGAAGGGUAUACUCAUAGUAGUAAUGCCACAAAAAGGGCUUAAGUCAAGCAUAGG